rnacentral:rRNA from 1 species
CCUACGGGAGUCAGCAGUGAGGAAUAUUGGUCAAUGGGCGAGAGCCUGAACCAGCCAAGUCGCGUGAGGGAGUACUGCCCUAUGGGUUGUAAACCUCUUUUGUCGGGGAGCAAAAGCCGGACGUGUCCGGCUGUGAGAGUACCCGAAGAAAAAGCAUCGGCUAACUCCGUGCCAGCAGCCGCGGUAAUACGGGGGAUGCGAGCGUUAUCCGGAUUUAUUGGGUUUAAAGGGGGCUCAGGCGGAUUUUUAAGUCAGCGGUAAAAUCGUGGGGCUCAACCCCAUCCAGCCGUUGAAACUGGGGAUCUAGAGUGUGCGAGAGGUAUGCGGAAUGCGUGGUGUAGCGGUGAAAUGCAUAGAUAUCACGCAGAACCCCGAUUGCGAAGGCAGCAUACCGGUGCACAACUGACGCUCAGGCACGAAAGCGUGGGUAUCGAACAGGAUUAGAUACCCGGGUAGUC